GGGAAACCCGAGUACCGAGUUGACGAAGUUGUUCACAGGACUGAUCACGCUUCACUGAAAAUUCUCUACGAUGCCCAGUGGUUAUGGCAAAUUUCCAGGGGCCACGAGUCUUGGCUGUUCCUUCCAGCAGAGAACAAAACUAGUCCACAAGGUAUUUGCCUCGAAGCUCCCAUGACCGAGAGAAAUUUCCAAAUGGCAGCAUUUCUGGUUUCCUUCAUCCACUCAUUCCGAGUAUUUACUAGGGGAUGGGAUGUGCCAACACAGUGAUGAGCAGAACAGAUGAGGACUGAAUGAUCAGGUGCAGGCAUCACUGGCAGCAGCGUAAGCCAACAUCCGAAGGCCUCGUCCCAGAAAACAGGGAGGAUUCAUUUCAAGCUCUAAGACCGACUGAAGCCUGGCACUCCCUGACAAAUGCAUUCCAGCUGGUUUCAAUCCACACGAGACACCAGUGUGUGUGUGUGUGUGUGUGUUGUGUGUGUGCGCGUGUGUGCGUGUGUGUGUGCGCGCGCGCGCGUGUGUACGUGUGUUUAUGUAUCAGCAUAGUAAAGAAAAGGCACUUGGGAAGCUGCAGACUUCCAUCUCAUCUCUCUUUUGCUCCGCAGCUCUCUCCCAGAGAGGAAGACGCAUUAAAUGUCAGAGAAGACGUUAACUCUGGGCGGUCCAAGGAGAUGAGAUAA
rnacentral:lncRNA from 1 species